AUACCUUUCUCGGCCUUUUGGCUAAGAUCAAGUGUAGUAUCUGUUCUUAUCAGUUUAAUAUCUGAUACGUGGGCCAAUGGCCCACACGGUGUUAAAUUAAUUUUUUUAGGGGGAGGGUCCACCACAGUAGCUUGCUAUUGGGGGCCCCUUGUGUCGCCUUGGUGUUGCACUAUUGCCUUGGCCAGGCGCACCCCAC